UGUGACAUACCACUUGUUGCCUCGGCGGAUCAGCCCGCUCCCGGUAAAACGGGACGGCCCGCCAGAGGACCCCUAAAACUCUGUUUCUAUAUGUAACUUCUGAGUAAAACCAUAAAUAAAUCAAAACUUUCAACAACGGAUCUCUUGGUUCUGGCAUCGAUGAAGAACGCAGCAAAAUGCGAUAAGUAAUGUGAAUUGCAGAAUUCAGUGAAUCAUCGAAUCUUUGAACGCACAUUGCGCCCGCCAGUAUUCUGGCGGGCAUGCCUGUUCGAGCGUCAUUUCAACCCUCAAGCACAGCUUGGUGUUGGGACUCGCGUUAAUUCGCGUUCCUCAAAUUGAUUGGCGGUCACGUCGAGCUUCCAUAGCGUAGUAGUAAAACCCUCGUUACUGGUAAUCGUCGCGGCCACGCCGUUAAACCCCAACUUCUGAAUGUUGACCUCGGAUCAGGUAGGAAUACCCGCUGAACUUAAGCAUAUCA
rnacentral:rRNA from 1 species